AAGUCGUAACAAGGUUUCCGUAGGUGAACCUGCGGAAGGAUCAUUAACGAGUUAGGGUUCUGAAAAUGAGCUCGACCUCCCAAUCCUGUGAUUACUUGACUAUAUUGUUGCUUCGGCGGGAUUCCGCCCUCGGCUCCGUCUGAGGUGGAUACCGUCGAUAGCCCCUUCAACAAACUCUAUAUAAACAUGUCUGACAUCAUUAUUUUUAAAAUUAAAACAAAACUUUCAACAACGGAUCUCUUGGUUCUGGCAUCGAUGAAGAACGCAGCGAAAUGCGAUAAGUAAUGCGAAUUGCAGAAUUCAGUGAGUCAUCGAAUCUUUGAACGCACAUUGCGCCCUUUGGUAUUCCGAAGGGCAUGCCUGUUCGAGCGUCAUUAUCAACCCUCAAGCUUUGGCUUGCUGUUGGGUCUGUUGAAAUGGGAGACCAUUUCACACCCGAAAGACAAUGACGGCGCUUGAUGGAAGCCUGGUACAAUGAGUCUUUUUAGGCACGUACUGUGGUCGACCGUCGAGCCCGGCCUCAACCCCAUUUUUCUAAAGGUUGACCUCGGAUCAGGUAGGAAUACCCGCUGAACUUAA
rnacentral:rRNA from 1 species